CCAGCCAGAUAAACCAUAUAAUAUACACACACUGAUAAGGCAACCAAAUCCUCAUAUCUCUACACUGUCAAAAUCCACCAAUUGUAGUCUGUAACUAGUUAUAAUCUAGAAUCUUGAAAUCCAAUCGCCGAUCCUCCAGCAAAAGCAAACGAAAAUUAAAGAAAAUCUAAGAAUAAAACCCUAAAUAUCCACCAAGGACAAGCAAAUAAACUGGAUUUGAUCAUCAUCGCAACAGAUUCCGCGGCAAUCAUAGCUUCUUGGUGAUCCAUAAAAGGAUGAUGAUGAUAAAGAAACCCUAAAAUGAUUGGGAUGAAC
rnacentral:misc_RNA from 1 species